rnacentral:rRNA from 1 species
GACGGAAGGUGCAAGCGUUGCUCGGAAUCACUGGGCGUAAAGGGUGCGUAGGCGGCCGUGCAAGUCUGGCGUGAAAGCCCCGGGCUCAGCCCGGGAAGUGCGCUCGAAACUGCGCGGCUCGAGUGCCGGAGGGGAGAGUGGAAUUCCUGGUGUAGCGGUGAAAUGUGUUGAUAUCGGAAGGAACGCCGGUGGCGAAAGCGGCACACUGGAUCUCAACUGACGCUGAGGCACGAAAGCCAGGGGAGCGAACGGG